CAAAUAUUAAAAAAAAGUGUGUGUUCUGGAAUAUGUUCGAUGAGGGGUAAAUAUGCUUUGAGAUUUCCUUUAGUCUUUUUUCAACACUUAUUAUGAGGCUAGCAUUGGUCUAAUGAAGUGGGAAUAAUCUAAAACUUAUUGUGACUGGUGUCGCCGGUCCCCAUAUCCAAAUGAAAUCAAGCCGAGAGAGCAUACAUGUAGUUUUAGGAAGAGGAAAAUACAUGCAAGUGCUUAACGAUCAUCAUCUAACAGCCGAAAAUGUUCGUUUUGAUAAGUUACAUAUGGGGCUCCGUUUGCAUGACUUGACUCUCCCUUGAUUGAUACUCUAACUACCUUUCACCACAGCUCCACUGGCUGGUCAGGACAAGGAUGCUAUGUCAAAUCUAGUAAUGCUCACCAAACAGAGUGCACCUGCAAUCAUUUGACUCAUUUUGCUGUUCUUCUGGACACGUCAUCUGGUUCAGAGACAGCCGGUAUAUCAGAGGAAGACUAAAAGGCCUUGGAAAUUCUCACAUACGUCGGGCUGACUCUCUCUGUCAUUGGGAUCUCAUUGACGAUAAUCAGCUAUGUCACUCUCACAGACAUAAAGGGAACUUUAUCUCAGAUUCGAGUAAGUCUCGUCACCUCUCUUGGUGCAGGACAAGUCAUAUUUCUUGCUGGGAUUGGAGCAACUAAGAACAAGGCAAGAGUCCUGAAAAAGUCAGUGAUUACAGUCAAAAAAAGGAAAGGGCCAAUGGAUACAAAGAUGAAUGAAGCAAUAAAUUCAAUUAGGAAAAGAAAAACAGAAACUUAUCUGAACGAAAACAUAUAUGAUUAUUCGUAGAACAUGAAGCUGACGGGAUUUAAGGGUUUUCAAACAGU